UACGAAGGGGGCUAGCGUUGCUCGGAAUCACUGGGCGUAAAGCGCACGUAGGCGGAUUGUUAAGUCAGGGGUGAAAUCCUGGAGCUCAACUCCAGAACUGCCUUUGAUACUGGCGAUCUCGAGUCCGGGAGAGGUGAGUGGAACUGCGAGUGUAGAGGUGAAAUUCGUAGAUAUUCGGAAGAACACCAGUGGCGAAGGCGACACACUGGCUCACUACUGACGCUGAGGCGCGAAAGCGUGGGGAGCAAACAGG
rnacentral:rRNA from 1 species